rnacentral:rRNA from 1 species
AAAGCGAAUGAUUAGCAUACUCGGGGACAUUUUGUCUUCGGAUGAUUCUCAAACUUUAAAUGCGCACGGAUGUUGCCGCUUGGGUGGGCGGCAUCUCCAGAAACUUGGGCUUUGUGGGCCACUUUUGGUAAGCAGAACUGGCGAUACGGGAUGAACCGUAAGUGUGGUUAAGGCGUCAAAUUGUCCGCUUACAGAUUCCAAAAAAGGUGUUGAUUCAUCGAGACAGCAGGACGGUGGCCAUGGAAGUCGGAAUCCGCUAAGGAGUGUGUAACAACUCACCUGCCGAAUGAAUUAGCCCUGAAAAUGGAUGACGCUAAAGCGGGCAGCCGACACCACACCGUUUGGGAAAAAUAUAAACUCAAAUGAGUAGGAGGAACGUGGCGGUCGUGUUGAAGCGUGCGUGCAAACGUGCGUGGAACGGCCGCUAGUGCAGAUCUUGGUGUUAGUAGCAAAUAUUCAAACGAGAACCUUGAAGGGCGAAGUGGGGAAGGGUUCCACGCGAACAUUGAUUGAGCGUGGGUAAGUCGUUCCUAAGCCGCGUGGCAAUAGCUAAUUACCGGCGAAAGGGAAGCAGGUUGAUAUUCCUGCACACGGAUGUGGAAGCGGCGACGCAUACUUGGGAUGGUGAAGCUGGCGAUGGCUCUGGGCAGAGUUUUCUUUUCUGUUUAACUUCUGUGCUCGCAGUGUGGAAUCCGAUUGUCGGGAGAAACACGCGGGUCUGGGAAUAGCGCCGGGUUUUUUUCCGGCGUCCAGAACGCCAUCGUCGGACCUUGAAAAACUGUCUGCAGGCAUCUUUAUUGCAAAGUUGUCAAUAGUAAAAA